rnacentral:rRNA from 1 species
CAAUGGCGUAUAUUAAAGUUGUUGCAGUUAAAAGCUCGUAGUUGGAUUUCUGGCAGGAGCGACCGGUCGGCCCAAGCUAGGUGUGUACUAGUGUUGCAUCUGGCCAUAUUUGCGGAGAGCGUGUGUGGCAUUAAUUUGUCGUGCACGGGACCCGCACGUUUAUCUGUGAGAAAAUUUAGAGUGUUCAAAGCAGGCUUAUGCCUUGGAUAUGUUAGCAUGGAAUAAUAAGAUAAGACUUUGGCGGUCUAUUUUGUUGGUUUGCACGCCAUUGUAAUGAUUGAUAGGGACAGUUGGGUGAUUUCAUAUUUAAUUGUCAGAGGUGAAAUUCUUGGAUUUCU